GCAGGCUCAUGCAAGUCACCUGACACAACACAUUCAGCCUGAACACAAAGGUGAGGGGCGGCAUAACGCAGGGAGUGGGAUUGAUAACAAGGGUCUCUGAUUAAAGAUGGAUCCAGGUUGGGGUCUGCAAGCGGCGGUUAAGAGUGAAAAGAACCAACCUCCUCGAGGGUCUAUGAGAUGAGGAGCAGGACGGGAUGCUGAGGAACUCCAGCAGGACGCUGUGCACCCACACCCAAGCAGAUGGAUAA
rnacentral:lncRNA from 1 species